CCUACGGGGUGCAGCAGUGAGGAAUAUUGGUCAAUGGACGAGAGUCUGAACCAGCCAAGUAGCGUGAAGGAUGACUGCCCUAUGGGUUGUAAACUUCUUUUAUAUGGGAAUAAAACAGGGUAUGCAUACCCUCUUGUAUGUACCAUAUGAAUAAGGAUCGGCUAACUCCGUGCCAGCAGCCGCGGUAAUACGGAGGAUCCGAGCGUUAUCCGGAUUUAUUGGGUUUAAAGGGUGCGUAGGCGGACUAUCAAGUCAGCGGUAAAAAUUCGGGGCUCAACCCCGUCGUGCCGUUGAAACUGAUGUUCUUGAGUGGGCGAGAAGUAUGCGGAAUUCGUGGUGUAGCGGUGAAAUGCAUAGAUAUCACGAAGAACUCCGAUUGCGAAGGCAGCUUACCAAACUACGACGGACGUUGAGGCACGAAAGCGUGGGGAGCAAACAGGAUUAGAUACCCGGGUAGUC
rnacentral:rRNA from 1 species